ACUUCUACUGACUACCAAACAUGCCUUUUGUUCAUGAAGACCUCAGCAACUGGGACGUUUCUAGGCUCUUUCUUUCUUGGGGGGGAUGGCUUGCUGCUUGAGUGAGUACCAAUAUUAGCUGUCUCAGGAAAGUGCUGAAUUUCCCAAUUAACAUUACAGGGAUUGCUAGGAGCUUGAUGGUGCUACUGAACUGAUGGAUGCUUAGGCAGCUUCUUUUACGUUCAACUUUCUUUUUAAGGACUAGAGUUCCUCUGGUAAGUUAAAAAACUUCUCAAG